GAUGAACGCUGGCGGCGUGCCUAAUACAUGCAAGUCGAGCGAACGGACGAGAAGCUUGCUUCUCUGAUGUUAGCGGCGGACGUGUGAGUAACACGUGGAUCACCUACCUAUAAGACUGGGAUAACUUCGGGAAACCGGAGCUAAUACCGGAUAAUAUUUUGAACCGCAUGGUUCAAAAGUGAAAGACGGUCUUGCUGUCACGUAUAGAUGGAUCCGCGCUGCAUUAGCUAGUUGGUAAGGUAACGGCUUACCAAGGCAACGAUGCAUGGCCGACCUGGGAGGGUGGUCGGCCACACUGGAACUGAGACACGGUCCAGAGUACUACGGGAGGCAGCAGUAGGGAAUCGUCCGCAAUGGGCGAAAGCCUGCCGGAGCAACGCCGCGUGAGUGAUGAAGGUCUUCGGAUCGUAAAACUCUGUUAUUAGGGAAGAACAUAUGUGUAAGUAACUGUGCACAUCUUGACGGUACCUAAUAAGAAAGCCACGGCUAACUACGUG
rnacentral:rRNA from 1 species